UCCUUGGUGGUGUAACGGUUAACAUUGCCGCUUUUCAGUGCCCGCGUUUUAAUACACUGUAAUUGAAAGCGCGGCAGCCCGGGGUUCGAUUCCCCGCCAGGGAA